UAGGGAAUCUUCGGCAAUGGGGGGAACCCUGACCGAGCAACGCCGCGUGAGUGAAGAUGGUUUUCGGAUCGUAAAGCUCUGUUGUUAAGGAAGAACGAGUGUGAGAAUGGAAAGUUCAUGCUGUGACGGUACUUAACCAGAAAGGGACGGCUAACUACGUGCCAGCAGCCGCGGUAAUACGUAGGUCCCGAGCGUUGUCCGGAUUUAUUGGGCGUAAAGCGAGCGCAGGCGGUUAGAAAAGUCUGAAGUGAAAGGCAGUGGCUCAACCAUUGUAGGCUUUGGAAACUGUUUAACUUGAGUGCAGAAGGGGAGAGUGGAAUUCCAUGUGUAGCGGUGAAAUGCGUAGAUAUAUGGAGGAACACCGGUGGCGAAAGCGGCUCUCUGGUCUGUAACUGACGCUGAGGCUCGAAAGCGUGGGGAGCGAACAGG
rnacentral:rRNA from 1 species